UACAGAGGUCUCAAGCGUUGUUCGGAUUCAUUGGGCGUAAAGGGUGCGUAGGUGGCGCUGUAAGUCAGGUGUGAAAUUUCGGAGCUUAACUCCGAAACUGCAUUUGAUACUGCGGUGCUUGAGGACUGGAGAGGAGACUGGAAUUUACGGUGUAGCAGUGAAAUGCGUAGAGAUCGUAAGGAAGACCAGUGGCGAAGGCGGGUCUCGUGGACAGUUCCUGACGCUGAGGCGCGGAAGGCCCAGGGGAGCAAACGGG
rnacentral:rRNA from 1 species